AUUGAACGCUGGCGGCAGGCCUAACACAUGCAAGUCGAGCGAGAGGCGUACGGGUGAGUAAUGUAUGGGGAUCUGCCCGAUAGAUGGGGAUAAAUAAUGGGAACGGUGGCUAAUACCGCCUUCCAUAAGAUAAACCCAUAUUGGAUUAGCUGGUAGGUAAGGUAACGGCGUACCAAGGCGACGAUCCCUAGCUGGUCUGAGAGGAUGAUCAGCCACACUGGGACGGAGACACGGCCCAGACUCCUACGGGAGGCAGCAGUGGGGAAUAUUGCACAAUGGGCGAAAGCCUGAUGCAGCCAUGCCGCGUGUAUGAAGAAGGCCUUCGGGUUGUAAAGUACUUUCAGUCGGGAGGCGUUACCGACAGAAGAAGCACCGGCUAACUCCGUGCCAGCAGCCGCGGUAAUAC
rnacentral:rRNA from 1 species